UUUCCGUAGGUGAACCUGCGGAAGGAUCAUUAACGGGUUAGGGUCUUCUAGGCCCGACCUCCCAACCCUAUGUUUAUUGAACCUCUGUUGCUUCGGCGGAUCCGCCUCACGGCCGCCGGAGGACCGCUGCAAGGCGUCCUCUGGCCAGCGUCCGCCGAUGGCCAACCACUUAAACUCUGAAUGAAUCGUGUCAUAUGUCUAAGUCUAUGAUUAAAUUAAAGCAAAACUUUCAACAACGGAUCUCUUGGUUCUG
rnacentral:misc_RNA from 1 species